GUUUUUCCAUCAGCACAGUGGCAGUCGCCCUAGGGGCUCUCACACUGUGGCAUGCUGUACUUAUCACCCGUGGAGAAACCAGCAUUGAACGCCAUAUAAACAACAAAGAGGCCAAACGUUGGGCGAGACAUGGAAAGGUCUAUCGGAAUCCUUUCAGUUAUGGUAAACUAAACAACUGGAAGGUGUUUUUUGGUGUAGAAAAGAGAAGACAUUGGCUGACACGUGUUCUCCUACCCUCUGGACACACCGCAUAUGGUGACGGACUGACAUGGGACAUUUACCCUCUUAAAAAAGACAUGAUGCCAGUCUGAGACAUUAAAGACUUGACUGUCUUAGUUGGCGAUGACCAACAUGCUCAUCAGGGUGAGUCCCACCCACUGUACCAAGGCUGAAUGCAGAACCAGAGCCCUGGGAACAUGGGAGUCUGCAGAGCCCAGAUUUAGACAGCGAUCUCACUGGAUGACUUUUGCUCUUUCUGGCCAAAUGAAAGGGCUGUUCUCCAAAAAACACCAUGCAUAUUUUGGAUAUUUCUAUCAAUAUUUUGUAAUGAAACCCAUGACGGUUGUCUAAGCGAUACUGUGCUUAAAGGGAUAGUUCACCCAAAAAUAAAAAUACUGUCAUCAUUUUC